UACGAAGGGGGCUAGCGUUGUUCGGAAUUACUGGGCGUAAAGCGCACGUAGGCGGCUUUGUAAGUAAGAGGUGAAAGCCCAGAGCUCAACUCUGGAAUUGCCUUUUAGACUGCAUCGCUUGAAUCAUGGAGAGGUCAGUGGAAUUCCGAGUGUAGAGGUGAAAUUCGUAGAUAUUCGGAAGAACACCAGUGGCGAAGGCGGCUGACUGGACAUGUAUUGACGCUGAGGUGCGAAAGCGUGGGGAGCAAACAGG
rnacentral:rRNA from 1 species